UAUCAAUAAGCGGAGGAAAAGAAACCAACAGGGAUUGCCUUAGUAGCGGCGAGUGAAGCGGCAAAAGCUCAAAUUUGAAAUCUGGCACUUUCAGUGUCCGAGUUGUAAUUUGAAGAAGGUAUCUUUGGGUCUGGCUCUUGUCUAUGUUUCUUGGAACAGAACGUCACAGAGGGUGAGAAUCCCGUGCGAUGAGAUGUCCCAGACCUAUGUAAAGUUCCUUCGAAGAGUCGAGUUGUUUGGGAAUGCAGCUCUAAGUGGGUGGUAAAUUCCAUCUAAAGCUAAAUAUUGGCGAGAGACCGAUAGCGAACAAGUACAGUGAUGGAAAGAUGAAAAGAACUUUGAAAAGAGAGUGAAAAAGUACGUGAAAUUGUUGAAAGGGAAGGGCUUGAGAUCAGACUUGGUAUUUUGUAUGUUACUCUCUCGGGGGUGGCCUCUACAGUUUACCGGGCCAGCAUCAGUUUGAGCGGUAGGAUAAGUGCAAAGAAAUGUGGCACUGCUUCGGUAGUGUGUUAUAGUCUUUGUCGAUACUGCCAGCUUAGACUGAGGACUGCGGCUUCGGCCUAGGAUGUUGGCAUAAUGAUCUUAAGUCGCCCGUCUUGAAACACG
rnacentral:rRNA from 1 species